rnacentral:rRNA from 1 species
UACGAAGGGGGCUAGCGUUGCUCGGAAUCACUGGGCGUAAAGCGCACGUAGGCGGCUUUUUAAGUCAGAGGUGAAAUCCUGGAGCUCAACUCCAGAACUGCCUUUGAUACUGGAGAGCUUGAGUCCGGGAGAGGUGAGUGGAACUGCGAGUGUAGAGGUGAAAUUCGUAGAGAUCGGGAGGAACACCAGUGGCGAAGGCGGCUACCUGGACCAGCACUGACACUGAAGCACGAAAGCGUGGGGAGCAAACAGG